GACGAACGCUGGCGGCGUGCCUAAUACAUGCAAGUCGAGCGAAGUUUUUCUGGUGCUUGCACCGGAAAAACUUAGCGGCGAACGGGUGAGUAACACGUAAAGAACCUGCCUCAUAGACUGGGACAACUAUUGGAAACGAUAGCUAAUACUGGAUAACAGCAUUAACUGCAUGGUUGAUGUUUAAAAGUUGGUUUUGCUAACACUAUGAGAUGGCUUUGCGGUGCAUUAGCUAGUUGGUGGGGUAAAGGCCUACCAAGGCGACGAUGCAUAGCCGGCCUGAGAGGGUGAUCGGCCACACUGGGACUGAGACACGGCCCAGACUCCUACGGGAGGCAGCAGUAGGGAAUCUUCCGCAAUGGGCGAAAGCCUGACGGAGCAACGCCGCGUGAGUGAAGAAGGAUUUCGGUUCGUAAAGCUCUGUUGUUAGGGAAGAAUGAUUGUGUAGUAACUAUACACAGUAGAGACGGUACCUAACCAGAAAGCCACG
rnacentral:rRNA from 1 species